rnacentral:rRNA from 1 species
UACGUAGGGACCAAGCGUUGUUCGGAUUUACUGGGCGUAAAGGGCGCGUAGGCGGCGCGGUAAGUCACUUGUGAAAUCUCUGAGCUUAACCCAGAACGGCCAAGUGAUACUGCAGUGCUAGAGUGUGGAAGGGGCAAUCGGAAUUCUUGGUGUAGCGGUGAAAUGCGCAGAUAUCAGGAGGAACACCGGUGGCGAAGGCGGAUCUCUGGGCCGAUACUGACGCUGAGGAGCGAAAGCGUGGGGAGCGAACAGG